rnacentral:lncRNA from 1 species
AGGAUCAAUAGAGAAUAAUGACACAAACAGAGAUUAGCAAUACUUAUCUCUUGAAUCCCGAGGAAGAGAACCUAAGCUCUGAUUACCACAUGGUACAACCCAUUCCGAGACAGAUCGACGAGGAACAUCGAAUCUGACACGGUUUGAGCCGAUAACCUGAGAAUCAGCGAAAAGCUCGAUUUGGAAGUUGAAGACGCAGUAGAAGACUGAAGGCGAAGACUACGAACCCUAGGUUUGGGAGGAUUUGUUCGGUGAAAAAGGUUAGGGCUGGGAGUUUGGAAGGUCUUAGAUGGUGGAAAAGGAAGAUCUCAUCGAUUGAAUCGGUGGAACGGAAGAUAUCUAGGUUUGUUUGGGGUUUUCACUUGGUACAUAGGAAGGAAAUCGUAUGAAGAAGGGUAAUCUGGACUGUGGUGCGGUGGAAAACGACUGGCGGAGGUGGAUCUGUGAAGAACACUUGCGAGGAGAGAUUCGAGAAGGAAACCCUAAGCGAAAGAGAUCUGUGGCGUCGAAUGAGGUUGAUGAUGAAGUGCGAAAAUGACGAUGGAAUGGAGACUUUGGUGUGGCAGUAAAUAGUAGAGCCACACGGAAGCUUCGUAUUGGAACGAGUGGCGUCAGAGGAUUGGUGGAUGCGGAGGAGUGAGAAAAUCUGGCAAUGGAAAAUGAGAGGAAAAGCAAUGUGAUUGGAAGGUGGCUAAGGAAUCCCAAGGAAUCCCUUGGAUUCUUCAGCCUUGACUUUCAAGGAAUUAAGUCUGGAGUAUACUCAACAGAAAAUUAAUUCAUUAUCUCAAAAGUGCUUACAAUAAGUGUAGGCAUGACUAUUUAUAGGACUAGAAGUCGCACAUGCCUAACACAAUACAAAGUACAUAAAAGAAAGACUACACUAAAGACAU